AUGUAUCAGAAAUACAGUAGACAUUGUUAAGGUUGUGAAUGACUAUUGUAGCUGGAAACUACAGAUUUGAAUGGAAUAGCUACAUAGGCGUACAGAAGCCCGUUAUCAGCAACAACCCCAACCCCAAGGCACAUUGUGUUAGCUAAUCCAAGUUUAUCAUUUCAAAAGGCUAAUUGAUCAUUAGAAAACACUUUAGCAAUUAUGUUAGCACAGCUGAAAACUGUUGCUCUGAUAAAAGAAGCAAUAAAACUGGCCUUUCCAUCUGCGGUGGAAAGUGGCCGAGCUACAGCAACGUUUGUCAGACCAUGAGACACCUCAAAAAUCGGACCGAUAUGACCCCACUGUGGAAAGGGAGACUCUCACAAACACAAUGAUGUUCUCUGUUUUGCUCUACGACCCCUACAGGUGUAAAGGGACUUAUCUGAAGGUACAGUUGAAACCGGGAUUCAUCUGUGAAGAGCACACUUCUCCAGCAUGUCAUUCGCCAUCGAAGGUGAAGAAGCCAGAUGUGGAUGUCGUGGACUGGCGUCGUUACACAUGGUCUGCGGUUGUGAGGCCGGUUGGACGAACAGCCAAAUUCUCUAAAACGAUGAAGGCAGCUUAUGGCAGAGAAAUAAACAUUAAAUUCUCUGGCAACAGCUCUGAUGGACAUUCCUGCAGUCAGCAUACCAAAUGCACACUCCCUAAAAACUUGAGACAUGUGUGGUAGUGUUUGACAAAACUGCACAUUUUAGAGUGGCCUUUUAUUGUCCCCCAGCACAAGGUGCACCUGUGUACUGAUAAAGCUUUUUAAUUAGCUUCUUGAUAUUCCACACCUGUCAGGUGGAUGGAUUAUCUUGGCAAAUGAGAAAUGCUCACUAACAGGGAUGUAAACAAAUUUCUGCACUAAAUUUGAGAGAAAAAAUAUGUUUGUGCACAUUUAACAUUUCUGUGAUGUUUCAUUUCAGCUCAUGAAACAAGGGACCAACACUUUACAUGUUGUGUUUAUAUUUUUGUUCAGUAUAGCCAUCUUAUAUCUAAACUGUGCUUAAAGUUCUGCAGUUGUGCAUUGGUUUGCUCAUUUAAUAGCUAGUUAGCAAUCUAGCUAAGUGGUUAGUUACUUCCAAAAUCAAGCUUAGCUUGGCAACAGCAAGGCUCUUGAUCAGUAUCCCCUCAUGGAUCAAGAGCCUUGCUGUCUAAUAUUUGUUUUGUGCAUGCAUCAAACUAUGAGUAGCAUUUUUUAGUUACUUGUAUAACUUUGAACUGGGGAGUCUGUCCUGCAAAUACUUUAAGUCAGACUGUAUAAAAUGCUUGCAAUGCGCUCGUUAGAAUUUAGUUAGCAUUCUCUAUGGGAUUUUAAAUGUACAUGUUAGGAAUGUUGACUUUUGGAUAACAGAAGAUCUGUGAGGUUUGAAAAUAGUGCCCCUUGUGUUCAGUGCCAGUACUACCAAAUAUCCUGGUAUGGCACAAGGUCGGUAUGACAAUCUGGAUACUACCCAAGGCCAAACCCAAUUCAACGCGUUUCUAUGGGCUAUAGUAAUAAAGGCAAUUCUAUAUUUUAUCAAAAUAUUAUUUCAUUUAAAAAAAAGUAUACUUAAACGGGUCCUAAAAUUCUA